rnacentral:misc_RNA from 1 species
GAUGAAGAACGUUGCGAAAUGCGAUAAGUAAUGUGAAUUGCAGAAUUCAGUGAAUCAUCGAAUCUUUGAACGCACAUUGCGCCCCCUGGUAUUCCGGGGGGCAUGCCUGUCCGAGCGUCAUUACAACCCUCAAGCUCAGCUUGGUGUUGGGCCCCGCCGCCCCGGCGGGCCCUAAAGUCAGUGGCGGUGCCGUCCGGCUCCGAGCGUAGUAAUUCUUCUCGCUCUGGAGGUCCGGUCGUGUGCUCGCCAGCAACCCCCAAUUUUUUUCAGGUUGACCUCGGAUCAGGUAGGGAUACCCGCUGAACUUAAGCAUAUCAAUAAGCGGAGGA